rnacentral:rRNA from 1 species
CCUACGGGCGGCAGCAGUGAGGAAUAUUGGUCAAUGGGCGAGAGCCUGAACCAGCCAAGUCGCGUGAGGGAAGACGGUCCUACGGAUUGUAAACCUCUUUUGUCAGGGAGCAAGGAGCGCCACGAGUGGUGCGGCGCAAGUACCUGAAGAAAAAGCAUCGGCUAACUCCGUGCCAGCAGCCGCGGUAAUACGGAGGAUGUGGGCGUUAUCCGGAUUUAUUGGGUUUAAAGGGUGCGUAGGCGGAAGCUGCAAGUUAGCGGUAAAAUUGCGGGGCUAAACCUCGCCGAGCCGUGGAAACUGGUCUUCUAGAGUGGGCGAGAAGUAGGCGGAAUGCGUGGUGUAGCGGUGAAAUGCAUAGAUAUGACGCAGAACUCCGAUUGCGAAGGCAGCAUACCGGCGCCCAACUGACGCUCAUGCACGAAAGCGUGGGUAUCGAACAGGAUUAGAUACCCUUGUAGUC